rnacentral:rRNA from 1 species
ACUUGGUCUCAAAUCAGGUAGGAAAACCCGCUGAACUUAAGCAUAUCAAUAAGCGGAGGAA